UGGGGUGUGGGUGCUCUAUGGGGUGCCCUAUGGGGUAUGGAGCAACAUAUGGGGUGGGGGUGCUCUGUGGGGUGAUGCGUGGGGUGGGGGUGCUCUAUGGGUGCUCUGUGGGGGGCAGGUGAUCUGUGGGGUGCCCUAUGGGGUGUGGAGUGCCCUAUGGGGUGCCCUAUGUGGUGUGGGUGCUCUACUGGGCGCCCUAUGGGGUGUGGGUGCUCUAUGGGUGCUGUGUGUGUUCCCUAUGGGGUGUGGGUGCUCUGUGGGGUGCCCUAUGGGGUGCUUUGUGGCGUGACCUAUGGGGUAUGGGUGCUUUAUGGGGUGCUCCAUGUGUCGCCCUAUGGGAUGUGGGUGCCCUAUGGGUGCUCUGGGGGUGCCCUAUGGGGUGUGGGUGUUCUGUGGGGUGCCCUAUGGGGUGUGGGUGCCCUAUGGGUGCUCUAUGGGGUGUGGGUGCCCUAUGGAUUAUGGGUGCCCUAUGGGAUGCUCUAUGGGAUGCUCUAUGAGGUGUGGGUGCCCUAUGGGUGCCCUAUGGGGUGUGGGUGCCCUAUGGGAUGUGGGUGCUCUAUGGGGUGUGGGUGCCCUAUGGGGUGUGGGUGCCCUAUGGGUGCUCUGUGGGGUGAUGUGUGGGAUGUGGGUGCUCUAUGGGGUGCCCUAUAGGGUGUGGGUGCUCUAUGGGCUGUGGGUGCUCUAUGGGCUGCCCUAUGGGGUGUGGGUGCUCUAUGGGUGCUCUAUGGGGUUCCCUAUGGGGUGUGGGUGCUCUGUGGGGUGCCCUAUGGGGUGUGAGUGCCCUAUGGGACGCCCUAUGGGGUGGGGGUGCCCUAUAGGGUGCCCUAUGGGAUAUGGGUACCCUAUGGGGAGCCCUAUGGGGUGCCCUAUGGGUUGCCCUAUGGGGAGUCCUAUAGGUGCCCUAUGGGAUAUGGGUGCUCUAUAGGUGCUCUAUGGGACGCUCUAUAGUAUAUGGGGUGCCCUAUAGGUGCCCUAUGCGAUAUGCGUGCCCUAUGGGUUGCCCUAUGGGGUGUCCUAUAGGUGCCCUAUGGGAUAUGGGUGCUCUAUGGGGUGCUCUAUGGUAUAUGGGGUGCCCUAUAGGGCGCCCUAUGGGUGCCCUAUGGUAUAUGGGUGCCCUAUAGGUGUCCUAUGGGAUAUGGGUGCUCUAUGGGGUGCUCUAUGGUAUAUGGGGUGCCCUAUAGGGUGCCCUAUGGGUGCCCUAUGGUAUAUGGGUGCCCUAUAGGUGCCCUAUGGUAUAUGGGGUGCCCUAUAGGGUGCCCUAUGGGUUCCCU
rnacentral:lncRNA from 1 species